CCUACGGGGGGCAGCAGUGAGGAAUUUUCGUCAAUGGGGGCAACCCUGAACGAGCAACGCCGCGUGCAGGAGGAAGGUCUUCGGAUCGUAAACUGCUUUUCCCAGGGAAGAGAACGGACGGUACCUGGGGAAGAAGCCCCGGCUAACUACGUGCCAGCAGCCGCGGUAAUACGUAGGGGGCGAGCGUUGUCCGGAUUUAUUGGGCGUAAAGCGUCCGCAGGCGGUCUACCAAGUCUGGGGUGACAGUUGUCGGCUUCACCGAGAAAGUGCUUCAGAAACUGGUGGACUUGAGGGCUUGAGAGGAAGGCGGAAUUCCGGGUGGAGUGGUGAAAUGCGUAGAUAUCCGGAGGAACACCGAUGGCGUAGGCAGCCUUCUGGCAAGCACCUGACGCUGAUGGACGAAAGCUAGGGGAGCAAACGGGAUUAGAUACCCCAGUAGUC
rnacentral:rRNA from 1 species